AUUUGGACGGAGUUCAAUCAAGGACACCAAAAAUAGCAGCAUAUAAUAAUGGAAAUGUACCAUUUGAAUUACAUAUUCGAAAUAACAGUAUUAUUACUGUACUAGGAAAAUAUAAUCUGACGAAUAUAAUACAAAAAGAUGUGAAGCAAAUAGAAAUUAAUGAUAUAUUAAGUACCUCGGAAUGUGUUAAAUUAGAAGGUUUUAUAAAAAGCAAUUUUGGAAAAAUUUACAAUCAUAAAUUAAAUAAAUAUAUCGGCUGCGGUUCUAUUACGGAUGGUAUUUAUAAAAUUGAAGUACAUAUAUUAAAUUUUGAUGAAAAGAAAUAUGAAGAGAAAAAGAUAAAAAAGGAAAUAAAGUACAACUAAUUGGCACGGUGCAAAAUACAGUCGACCCACCAUAUGUCAUAAUAAAUUCUAAUGAGGAAGUUAAAAAAUUGGAAGGAUGUAUGUCUUUGCCACUUUUAUUAAAAGGUAUACAUACAUCUAAAAAAAGAAAAAUAGAGGAGCAUAUAUAUGAGCA